rnacentral:misc_RNA from 1 species
GCCACCCAGAGCCUGGCCGGAAGAGAAUUCAGAUCCGCAGAUCGAGCAUUCAUGAAUCUUCGACUUAGUGGUGGUGACAGGAGGCAUGAAGGAAUUCAUGCUCAGUUCAAGCCCAUGAUCAAUUGUCGACACUUUCUUCUCUUCGGCUGCAAGCUUCGGCUUCUUGUGGCUGGCACGGUGGCCACCGAGGGCUUGGAAGGAAGAGAAGCAUUUAUUGCAUGUCUUGCACUCGUAGACGUAGAAGCCAGCCUUGCCUGUGGUGGUCGUGGUGGCUUCUGCGAACCUCCGGCUGGUGAACUUCUCUGCCAGUGGUUCGGGUUUUGGGAUGGAG